UUUAGGUUGAGCUUCCUUCUGUAU
rnacentral:siRNA from 1 species